UAGGGAAUCUUCGGCAAUGGGGGCAACCCUGACCGAGCAACGCCGCGUGAGUGAAGAAGGUUUUCGGAUCGUAAAGCUCUGUUGUAAGAGAAGAACGUGUGUGAGAGUGGAAAGUUCACACAGUGACGGUAACUUACCAGAAAGGGACGGCUAACUACGUGCCAGCAGCCGUGGUAAUACGUAGGUCCCGAGCGUUGUCCGGAUUUAUUGGGCGUAAAGCGAGCGCAGGCGGUUUAAUAAGUCUGAGGUUAAAGGCAGUGGCUUAACCAUUGUUCGCUUUGGAAACUGUUAAACUUGAGUGCAGAAGGGGAGAGUGGAAUUCCAUGUGUAGCGGUGAAAUGCGUAGAUAUAUGGAGGAACACCGGUGGCGAAAGCGGCUCUCUGGUCUGUAACUGACGCUGAGGCUCGAAAGCGUGGGGAGCAAACAGG
rnacentral:rRNA from 1 species